ACGGAGAGUUUGAUCCUGGCUCAGGAUGAACGCUGGCGGCGUGCUUAACACAUGCAAGUCGAACGGGAAGCGGUGCCGGUUACUUCGGUGAUUUGGUGCCGUGGAGAGUGGCGAACGGGUGCGUAACACGUAGGUAACCUGCCCUGAAAAGGGGGAUAACCACGGGAAACUGUGGCUAAUACCGCAUAAUCUCGCCGAGACGGUGGUUUCGGUGAGGAAAGCUGAGGCGAUUUGGGAGGGGCCUGCGGUCGAUUAGCUGGUUGGUGGGGUAAAGGCCUACCAAGGCGAUGAUCGAUAGCUGUUCUGAGAGGAAGACCAGCCACACGGGAACUGAGACACGGUUCCGACUCCUACGGGGGGCAGCAGUGAGGAAUAUUGCGCAAUGGGGGCAACCCUGACGCAGCAACGCCGCGUGGAGGACGAAGGUUUUCGGAUUGUAAACUCCUUAUCUGGGGGAAGAGGAAGGACGGUACCCCAGGACGAAGACACGGCUAACUAGGUGCCAGCAGCCGCGGUAAUACCUAGGUGUCGAGCGUUAUCCGGAAUUACUGGGCGUAAAGGGUGCGCAGGCGGCGAUACAAGUCUGGCGUGAAAGCUUCUGGCUUAACUGGGAGAGGACGUUGGAAACUGUAUGGCUAGAGUGAAUGAGAGGGGGGCGGAAAUCCCGGUGUAGUGGUGGAAUGCGUAGAUAUCGGGAAGAACACCAGAGGCGAAGGCGGCCUCCUGGCAUUUUACUGACGCUGAGGCACGAAAGCGUGGGUAGCGAACGGGAUUAGAUACCCCGGUAGUCCACGCUGUAAACGAUGUGAACGAGGUGUGGGCGGUGUAGAAGCCGUCUGUGCCGGAGCAAACGCGAUAAGUUCACCGCCUGGGGAGUACGGUCGCAAGGCUAAAACUCAAAGGAAUUGACGGGGGCCCGCACAAGCAGCGGAGCGUGUGGUUUAAUUCGAUGCAACGCGAAGAACCUUACCUGGGCUUGACAUGUACGUAGUAGUGAAGGGAAACCGGAACGAGCCUUCGGGCAGCGUAGACAGGUGCUGCAUGGCUGUCGUCAGCUCGUGUCGUGAGAUGUUGGGUUAAGUC
rnacentral:rRNA from 1 species